GUUGUAUGGUUAAGUGACUAAGCGUACACGGUGGAUGCCUUGGCAGUCAGAGGCGAUGAAAGACGUAGUAACUUGCGAUAAGCCCAGAUUAGGUAGUAACAACCAUUUGAGUCUGGGAUUUCUGAAUGGGGAAACCCACGUGCAUAAGCACGUAUCCUUACCUGAAUACAUAGGGUAAGGAAGCGAACCGGGGGAACUGAAACAUCUAAGUACCCCGAGGAAAAGAAAUCAACCGAGAUUCCGAAAGUAGCGGCGAGCGAAAUUGGACUAGCCCUUAAGCUUUACACGCGUUAGACGAACGGUCUGGAAAGUCCGACGAUACAGGGUGAUAGUCCCGUAGUUGACGACGUGUGUUCAGUGAAAUCGAGUAGGGCGGGACACGUGAUAUCCUGUCUGAAUAUGGGGGGACCAUCCUCCAAGGCUAAAUACUACUGACUGACCGAUAGUGAACCAGUACCGUGAGGGAAAGGCGAAAAGAACCCCUGUGAGGGGAGUGAAAUAGAACCUGAAACCGUGUACGUACAAGCAGUAGGAGCAGGCUUUGUCCUGUGACUGCGUACCUUUUGUAUAAUGGGUCAGCGACUUAUAUUCAGUGGCAAGGUUAACCAUCUAGGGGAGCCGUAGGGAAACCGAGUCUUAACUGGGCGUUCAGUCUCUGGAUAUAGACCCGAAACCAGGUGAUCUAGCCAUGGGCAGGUUGAAGGUUGAGUAACAUCAACUGGAGGACCGAACCGACUAAUGUUGAAAAAUUAGCGGAUGACUUGUGGCUAGGGGUGAAAGGCCAAUCAAACCUGGAGAUAGCUGGUUCUCCCCGAAAGCUAUUUAGGUAGCGCCUCGGACGAAUACUACUGGGGGUAGAGCACUGUUAAGGCUAGGGGGUCAUCCCGACUUACCAACCCUUUGCAAACUCCGAAUACCAGUAAGUACUAUCCGGGAGACACACGGCGGGUGCUAACGUCCGUCGUGGAGAGGGAAACAACCCAGACCGCCAGCUAAGGUCCCAAAUUACUACUAAGUGGGAAACGAUGUGGGAAGGCUCAGACAGCCAGGAUGUUGGCUUAGAAGCAGCCAUCAUUUAAAGAAAGCGUAAUAGCUCACUGGUCGAGUCGGCCUGCGCGGAAGAUGUAACGGGGCUAAGUAGUAAACCGAAGCUGCGGCAAUGUGCUUUUGCACAUUGGGUAGGGGAGCGUUCUGUAAGCGGUUGAAGGUGUGUGGUAACGCAUGCUGGACGUAUCAGAAGUGCGAAUGCUGACAUGAGUAACGAUAAAGGGGGUGAAAAACCUCCUCGCCGGAAGACCAAGGGUUCCUGUCCAACGUUAAUCGGGGCAGGGUAAGUCGACCCCUAAGGCGAGGCCGAAAGGCGUAGUCGAUGGGAAACGGGUUAAUAUUCCCGUACUUCUUACAAUUGCGAUGGGGGGACGGAGAAGGCUAGGUGGGCCUGGCGACGGUUGUCCAGGUUCAAGUGCGUAGGCUUAAGAGUUAGGUAAAUCCGGCUCUUUCUAAGGCUGAGACACGACGUCGAGCUGCUACGGCAGUGAAGUCAUUGAUGCCAUGCUUCCAGGAAAAGCCUCUAAGCUUCAGAUUGUAAGGAAUCGUACCCCAAACCGACACAGGUGGUCGGGUAGAGAAUACCAAGGCGCUUGAGAGAACUCGGGUGAAGGAACUAGGCAAAAUGGUACCGUAACUUCGGGAGAAGGUACGCUCUCGACGGUGAAGUCCCUCGCGGAUGGAGCUAUUGAGAGUCGCAGAUACCAGGUGGCUGCAACUGUUUAUUAAAAACACAGCACUGUGCAAAAUCGUAAGAUGACGUAUACGGUGUGACGCCUGCCCGGUGCCGGAAGGUUAAUUGAUGGGGUUAGACUUCGGUCGAAGCUCUUGAUCGAAGCCCCGGUAAACGGCGGCCGUAACUAUAACGGUCCUAAGGUAGCGAAAUUCCUUGUCGGGUAAGUUCCGACCUGCACGAAUGGCGUAAUGAUGGCCACGCUGUCUCCACCCGAGACUCAGUGAAAUUGAAAUCGCUGUGAAGAUGCAGUGUACCCGCGGCUAGACGGAAAGACCCCGUGAACCUUUACUACAGCUUGGCACUGAACAUUGACCCUACAUGUGUAGGAUAGGUGGGAGGCUUUGAAGCACGUACGCCAGUAUGUGUGGAGCCGUCCUUGAAAUACCACCCUUGUAGUGUUGAUGUUCUAACGUCGACCCCUAAUCGGGGUUGCGGACAGUGCCUGGUGGGUAGUUUGACUGGGGCGGUCUCCUCCCAAAGAGUAACGGAGGAGCACGAAGGUGGGCUAAUCACGGUUGGACAUCGUGAGGUUAGUGCAAUGGCAUAAGCCCGCUUGACUGCGAGAAUGACAAUUCGAGCAGGUGCGAAAGCAGGUCAUAGUGAUCCGGUGGUUCUGAAUGGAAGGGCCAUCGCUCAACGGAUAAAAGGUACUCCGGGGAUAACAGGCUGAUACCGCCCAAGAGUUCAUAUCGACGGCGGUGUUUGGCACCUCGAUGUCGGCUCAUCACAUCCUGGGGCUGAAGUCGGUCCCAAGGGUAUGGCUGUUCGCCAUUUAAAGUGGUACGCGAGCUGGGUUUAGAACGUCGUGAGACAGUUCGGUCCCUAUCUGCCGUGGGCGUUGGAAGAUUGAAGGGGGCUGCUCCUAGUACGAGAGGACCGGAGUGGACGAACCUCUGGUGUUCGGGUUGUGUCGCCAGACGCAUUGCCCGGUAGCUAAGUUCGGAAUCGAUAACCGCUGAAAGCAUCUAAGCGGGAAGCGAGCCCUGAGAUGAGUCUUCCCUGAUACUUUAAGUAUCCUAAAGGGUUGUCGGAGACUACGACGUUGAUAGGUCAGGUGUGUAAGUGCUGUGAGGCAUUGAGCUAACUGAUACUAAUUGCCCGUGAGGCUUAACCAUACAACACCCAAGGGGUUU
rnacentral:rRNA from 1 species